UACGUAGGGUGCAAGCGUUAAUCGGAAUUACUGGGCGUAAAGAGUGCGUAGGCGGCUAUGUAAGACAGAUGUGAAAUCCCUGGGCUUAACCUGGGAACUGCAUUGGUGACUGGCAGGCUUUGAGUGUGGCAGAGGGAGGUAGAAUUCCACGUGUAGCAGUGAAAUGCGUAGAGAUGUGGAGGAAUACCGAUGGCGAAGGCAGCCUCCUGGGCCAACACUGACGCUCAUGCACGAAAGCGUGGGGAGCAAACAGG
rnacentral:rRNA from 1 species